GACAGAGGGUGCAAACGUUGUUCGGAAUUACUGGGCGUAAAGCGCGUGUAGGCGGCCUGUUGCGUCCGCUGUGAAAGCCCGGGGCUUAACCCCGGGUCGGCAGUGGAUACGGGCAGGCUAGAGGUAGGUAGGGGAGAAUGGAAUUCCCGGUGUAGCGGUGAAAUGCGCAGAUAUCGGGAGGAACACCGGUGGCGAAGGCGGUUCUCUGGGCCUUACCUGACGCUGAGGAGCGAAAGCGUGGGGAGCGAACAGG
rnacentral:rRNA from 1 species